UUCACAGCGCGAUCAUGUAUAUUUUCUGGCUACAAAUUGUUGCCGACAUCUGUCUGAUUUAAAUGACAUGGAUACGGCAGAAAAAUAUAUUUGAGCGUCAAAUUUACAUUUCUAUUAAGGCAGUAGUAAAUUGCCUGUUCUGUUGGACAUAUGCAUCGUGCAUUUUCCCCAGAAAACACUAGGUUGGAGAUAAGGAAGGAGAUUGAUUAAAUGUCUUUCUACGACUCGUCAUACGUGUACUUUUGGAUAUAUCGAUCAGAAGAGCCUGAUUACUGAAGACAGUGUUCCAUGAAUAUGGGCGACGAGAACAUGUAUACUGUAUAGAUCUGUGGAUUACAUAAUUUUAUAAUAUAAACCAUUUUUAUGGAUUUGUUUGUUUCCCCGUAUUAAUUGGAAUUAGGUAAUGUAGAUUGCACUAUCAAUUUUUGUAGUCAUGGACGUGGACGUGAAUCUUGAUGUGACAAGUGUUAUUAUAGUUUCCAUUAAGGUCGUGCUUGUAGAAAAAUAAUAAUGGAAGUCGUCUUUUAUGUUUGUGUCGGAAACAUAUUAGUUCAAGAAGAAAUCGAGAUCUUCAGAUCCAUUACGUAAACAUGGCAUUCUGCUCAUCGCUCUAAACAUAAAUAUCUCUGUAGUAUGCAAUACGUUUAUUUGCCGCCAUUUUUAAUGAAAAUAAUAUUUGUUGAAAUCAUUCAAAAAUCCAUCUUUCAGUAAAGAAGUGAUUAGUGUUUCACCAAAUCAUAAACAAUUUGGCAGUGUAUCUUAUUGUACUGAAACAAAAUGGCUUUAUUUCUCACUACAAUGCAUGAAUCUCCUCCCCUCUUUUUUAAGCAUGACAGAUAGUUGAAUUUGCAUAAAUAUUGUUAUUUCAUUUUUUAAAUUUUAUACAAACUGUAAAAUGUAUGAAGCAAUAAUUUAUUUCUGCUUGAAGAAGAAGAUAUUGUCGUGAAAAGCCGCAGCCAGUGAGACAGACCGAAUUAAUAACAUUUUCUAACAACAGAAUAUGGAUAUCUUUUCACAAAGAUUGAUGAUGGGGGAUAGCAAGACAAAGUCCUGCUUGCAAAGAGGUUUCUAUCGGUUUUAUCAGAGUAUGGUUAAACAAAAUGAGUUAGACAUUAUAAAGAUCAAAGAAUCUGAGUUUGAGUUUCACAUUUUGUCCAACUGUUAUCUUACUGAUAUCUAAUUGAUAUAUCUGAGGGAUAUCUACGAAAACAUUAUAUUUACAUCUAAACAAUGAUAUCAAAAGAAAGAAUUUAAACCGGUAUCUUUAUUUACAAAAUACAAAUUUCACAAGUUGAGUGGAUUUUUGUACAUACUGAGGAUCAUAGUUGAUGCAUAUCAAAAGCAUUUCGAGGCAUAUCUGUCUUUGUGGUAAGCAAAGAAAAACUUAAUGUUUACUUGUAUGCUUUUGAGACAGUAUCUCAAUACUGUACUAACAUAUUGACCAAAGACAUCUAACAAAUUAAACAAAUGUAUUUUUGAAAAAAAAAAAAAUUUAGAAAGUUUUGUAGACUGGGAACCGAUAGACAUGCACAGUAAAUGAUUAAUAUGCAAGGUUAUUUUGGGCUGUUUUGCAUAUAUAUAGUUUCAUAAAUAACAUAAUAAAAUAUAUAUGUGCAUUAUUUUAGAUACAUUCUGUUAAAGAGGUCAAAGAUACUAUUAUAAGAGCUAUGCAGUAAUCAUAAUUAUUUUGAUUACAAUCUGUGGUUAAACUAUGCAAAGCCCGACCUUGUUAUCAGCAUCUGUACAAAAGAACUUGUUUUACUUCCAAUUGUAAUGUUAUUCCUGAAGGCCCUUCUUGCAAAUGUUGAAUGAUUUAAUGAAAUCGCAUGCCGAAUUAAAUCAUUUUAUUUAUAAUGUAUUUUAUGAUUUUUUAAUUUCAUUAUAAUAAUAUU